AAUACGUCCUCGGGUCUUGUACUCACCGCCCGUCACAUCAAGAGAGUCGGGGGUACCCGAACUCCGAUGUCCAUCGGAGGAAGGUAAAACCGAUGAUAGGGAUG
rnacentral:rRNA from 1 species